rnacentral:lncRNA from 1 species
GCAAUUCCAUAGAAUACAAAGUCUUGUUCAUUUCAAUGACGUGUUCAAUUCCGAAAGCUGCAAAUGACAGACCAUAUAUUACACAACAUCCUAGUAAAAUACAAAUACUAAUCAAGCCAACCCAUUCCCUUUCUUAUCCAUUUCCACACUUCCAUUGCCUUUGCAUAUUGUCACGUUUACAAAAAUUUCAAUGUCUUGUUCUUCCACUAACCGGCAAAGAGAUUGGAACGUGUGAGUUAUUUGUUGAACAUCUUCAAGUGCUGAUGAGUUAUUCAAGUUAAUGGUAUCAGUACUAGACUCGCUACUUGAUUAUUAGAGUUCGACCCAUUCCCAAUAUCUACAGUGAGCACCGCAGCAAUUGAACAACUUUCCCCUGUUCUUCGUCUCCUUUUCAACCUCAAAGCACUUCACAAAGUCAUGUCUACAGAAGGGGCGUCGCCGUUUGUUAGGGCAAUCAGCAAACAAGUGCCCUUCUCUCUACGGCUAAGGUAGAUUCCGGAGUUCUUUCCUGUCAUUCUAACAUAUGAACAACCAACAUAUUACCA